rnacentral:rRNA from 1 species
AGAGGGGUGCAAGCGUUAAUCGGACUUACUGGGCGUAAAGGGCACGUAGGUGGAUCUUUAAGACAUUGGGUGAAAUCCCUGGGGCUCAACCUAGGAAUUGCUAGUGAAACUGGAGAUCUAGAGUAUGAUAGAGGGAAGUGGAAUUUCCGGUGUAGCGGUGAAAUGCGUAGAUAUCGGAAGGAACAUCAGUGGCGAAGGCGGCUUCCUGGGUCAAUACUGACACUAAGGUGCGAAAGCGUGGGUAGCAAACAGGAUUAGAUACCCUGGUAGUCCACGCCGUAAACGAUGAGUACUAGAUGUUGGGUAGGUUUCUAUUCAGUAUCGCAGCUAACGCAUUAAGUACUCCGCCUGGGGAUUACGGCCGCAAGGCUA